UACGGGGGGGGUAAGCGUUGUUCGGAAUUACUGGGCGUAAAGGGCUCGUAGGCGGCCAACUAAGUCAUACGUGAAAUCCCUCAGCUUAACUGGGGAACUGCGUGUGAUACUGGAUGGCUUGGAUUUGGGAGAGGGAUGCGGAAUUCCAGGUGUAGCGGUGAAAUGCGUAGAUAUCAAGAGGAACACCUGCGGCGAAGGCGGGUUGCUGGGCCGACACUGACGCUGAUGCGCGAAAGCUAGGGGAGCGAACGGG
rnacentral:rRNA from 1 species